UGUCAUAUCAUUUGCUAAUAUUUUCUCCCAUUCUAUAUAUUGUCUUUUCAUUUUGUCAAUGAUUUCCUCUGCUGUGCAAAAGGUCUUACAUUUGACUAGGUCCCACUUUCUUAUUUUUGUUUUUUUUAUUUUGACUUAGGAGGCAAAUCCAGGAAAAAUUUCUAUGAUUUAUAUCAAAGAAUAUUCUGUCUGUUUUCUUCUAAAAGUUUUCAGAUUUAAGGUCUUUCAUUUAGAACUUUAAUCCAUUUUGAGUCUAUUUUUUUUUCAUGGGUUAAUUUUGUUUAAUUUUCUUCAUCAUAUAUUAAAUUAUUCAGAUUCUAGGCUCCCAUUUUGUCCAUUGGUAUUUACAGGGAAUUGGUUCCAGGAGCUCCCUCAUAUAUCAAAAUCCACUGAUGCUCAAGUCCCACGUCAGAGUUUCCACACCACUGGAUUUAACCAACUGUAGUUUGUGUUGCACUAUACAUACUUAUUGAAAAAAUUUUGCGGAUCCUUACAAUUCAAACUCAUGUUGUUUAAGGGUCAGCUGUAUAUCUCUAUGUCUCUAUAUUAUGUGUGUAUUAUCUAUCUGAAAUAUCAUGCAGGUAACAUGAAGGAUAUCCUCCUGUACAUUACCUGAAAGAUAUUUUAUAGUUUUAUUUUUCUAUAUUUCUAUAGAAAUAUUCCACUUAUUAAUUUGUUUUAAUUUAAAUUUAAAAAUUUUUAUAGUGUACAUAUUCUUUUCUUUCCCUAGCAUUCUAGAUUUAAAAAAAAUCAUCUUCAAAUAAGGAAAUUUCCAACAUUUUCACAUAGGUUGUAUGUACCUCCUUUGUUGCUCUCAUUGUUCAUGCAUUGACCAUUCUGUCCCGAAUAAUUUUAAAGAGUAAUAGUAUCACUGGUCAUAAAUCAUGACUAUUAAAUUACCAUUUAAGAUUAUAUUGGCAAGUUGUUUCUGAUAGAUUAUCUUCAACAUAUUAAGGAUAUAUGUUUCUCUACUGGCUUAAUAACAUUCCAGUUAUUUAAAUGAUACUUGUCUGCUAUUAAAAUUUCAAUUUUUACAGAGAGUAAAAUAUUUGUAAUCUUUCCCCAAAGUGGUAUACACAUUGCUAACCAAAUAGGGAUUACAGAGACAAGUUUACAGAUGAAGUGAGAAAUUGACCAAGUGUAGAUCAACUGAAAGACAACUGGAGUUAGGUCCUGGUAAGACCUAAAAUUUUGGUCUUAUUAAUUUGGCUUUUAUUUUAUGUUGAAAAUUUGUUUCAAUAUAAUACUAUGCUGAGAUGAAUGAUUUGGGGUAUAUUUGAAGUUAAAGUAAGAUUUCUGAGCAGUACAAAUGAAAAAAUAAAAUUAUUAAUCCUCAUUUUUGUGCCAGGACUAUGCUGUUUUGAUUACUGUAGCUUUGUAGUAUAAUCUUAAGUCAGGGUUGGGAAUACCUCCAGUUUUAUUCUUUUUUUCCUUAAGAUUGAUUUGGCAAUUUGGUUCUUUUGUGGUUCCAUAUAAAUUUUAAGUUAAUUUUUUCUAGUUCUAUGAAAAAUUUCAUAGAUACUUUUGAUAGGGAUUGCAUUAAAUCUAUAAAUUGCUUUGGGUGGUAUGGCCAUUUUAACAGUAUUAAUUCUUCCAGUCCAAGAUAUUAGAUAGUUUUCCAUUUCUUUGUAUCAUUUUCAAUUUCCUCUAUCAAUAUUUCAUAGUUUUCAAAGUAUAGGUCUUUCACAGAUAAUUAUACUACCAAGUUUUAAAAGGAAAGGGUUUCAUAGAGGCAAAACAUAGGGGCACUUAUAGCCAGACUUGACUGAUGUUCCAGUUAUUUUCUGCUGUGUAACAAACAAUCCCAAAACUGUCACUUAGAACAAGAGCCAUCUAUUUAGAUUUCCUUCAUUUUUAGGUCAGGAAUUUGGGCAAGGGUCAACUAGGUGGCAUAUGGUAUUGGUGGAGGUGACCAGGCAGUAUUCAGCUGGGAAAUGGAUUAGUCUGAAAGAUCAAAAAUGACCUGAUUGACUUCUGUUAUCUUGCUGGGGAUAACAGGACUCUAUUGGUCAAAGCAGUCACAGUCUUCUCAGGUUCAAAGGGAGACAUUUUAGAUACCUUCUUUUAGUAGGAGUGCAAAAGAAUCUGCAGCUAUAUUUUAAAACUGCCACAGUCAUCUCUAUUACCAAAAGUUGUUUAAAUUUCUCAUAUAUAUGAAAUUUAUUCACUUCCUCCCCCUUUAAUCUCAAAUACAACAAGAGGUGUGUGGGUGUCUUUCCUUCUUAGUCUCUCCACCCAUUGGUUUCAGGCCUGAGGCCCAGCAUUAGACCCAGAAAUAGAUACAUCUCCUCAGGUCCAGUUCUCUAGGUAUGGUUCCUCUCAAUCUAAAGGGGCAUUUUCCCAUCCUCGCCCCCAUGGUGGUGAGAGGGAAUAGGAAAACUACCACAUACAGUCCUGUUCAAAGGAGGACAAUAGAAGGCACACAGCAGGCACUGGUUCAUAGCAAGUCUGAAAUUCAAUCAAGAAGGCAUUGUCUAUUCUUCAGUUAGGCCUUAAUCUCGCUCCUAGGAAUUCUCCAUGACUCUCAGGUCCAUUCUCUGCUCUCUUGGUUCCACCCCUGAGUCAUUCCAACCUAUGUUCAGCUGAGUAAUUUUCUUAGUGAGCUUCUUGCUCAUAGAAAAGACAUCUUUUCUUUUUGUACUGUUCCUGUCCCUUUCAGUUCAUACUGAUACAGUUUCUUUUAAAACUUCCUGGUUUUCUUAUAGAACAAUUAAUAAAAUUCGCUUCACUAAACAAAAUGUCACAGUUAUAAAUCUCUGAAAGAUUAGUCUUCUCAGGAGACCCCAUUGUGGCUUAGUGGGUCAAGAAUCUGACUAGUAUUCAUGACACUGUGGGUUUGAUCCCUGGCCUCAGUCAGUGGGUUAAGGAUCUGGCAUUGCUGCAAGCUGUGGCAUAGGUCACAGAUGUGGCUUGGAUCUGACAUUGCUGCGGCUGUGGCAUAGGCUGGCAGUUGCAGCUGUGAUUAUACCUUAAGCCUGGAAAAUUCCAUAUGCCAAAGGUGUGGCCCUAAAAAGAAAAAAAGGAGGGGGGAAGAAAGGGUAGUCGUCUUAAUUUGGGGCUACCUGUGAGGCUAUUGUGGGGAAAUGCCCCCAAGAGUCUUAGAAACACAAUACUGUACCUAAGACAGCCUCUGAGACACAUCCUUAAGAUACACAGAGUUUUUUAUUCAACUAAAAGGAUAUGUGAGUCAUGACACUAGGUCGUGUUGUGGUAUUCAUCUAAAGGAUGAGCUAGGAUGUAGAAUCCCAGACACCGUCGUUCACUUGCUGAUGCCUUGGUGGAAAUUUCUGAAGGUUAGGCUUAGCAGGGACUAUUGUCUCAAACACCUAUACAUGGCCUUGCCAUUAUAGAGGCUUCAAAGUAGCCAUAUUUCUUACAUGGAAUAUCAGGGUUCCAAGAGAAUGUAUUCCAGAAAAUAAUGUAGAAAUGCAUGGCCUUUUAUGACCUAAACUCACAAGUCACAUAGUGUCACUCCCACUGUUUUCUACUGGUAGAAGCAGUCAAAAAACACUCAGAUGUAAAUGGAAGGGACUUAGAUAUGUUUAAAGACUUGUUUAAAACCACCACAGGGGUCCACAAAGAAAAACUUCCACAGAAAAAGGUAUCUGACCUGAGAUUUAAAAAGAACUGGAAUUAGGUGAAGGAAUGGGGAUGAAGGGGGGAAGACGUUCAAGGCAGAGAUGAAGCCAGAGGUAACGCGUAGCUCUAUCCUGAGCCCUUCAAGAGCCCUGAGGUCCACAGUGACAAAGUUAAGGGGUUUGCCUUAUGUUCUGAGGGCAUCAAGAACCUAGUAAAGGGUCAGAGUCACACAAGUGGUAUUUGUUUAUGGGUGGUUCACAAGUACCUAACAGAGAAGCUGCAUUGUACAUACAUAGUAAAUAUUUUUGAGUGAACUGAUUAACAUAUGAAUUUCAGGAAGAUCACUUUGGUGCAGUACAGUGAAUGUUUUAGAAAAGAGCAGGACUGCAAGUAGGGAGAUUAGUUUAGAAGUCUCUAGAGGCAUUCCAGGUAAGAGUUGUUGGAGUACCCUAACUCAGCUGUGGAUCUCAGGUUGGAAAGAAUAGGAUGAAAACAAGCCCAAAAACCUACUGUUGUAUUUGUCAAUAUUAUAUUAUAGUUAUUUUCUUAUAGGUCCACUCUUAUUAGGAGUGGCUACAUUCUUGAAUUUUGGAUGAGAAAGAUGGAGUGGAGAUUAGAAAGUAGAAGACUUGAGGAAAUGUUGAUUAGAUUGAAAAACACUGGAGCUUGUUUGUAAGUUUAGAAGAAAGAGUUAGAUGGAAGUGACAGAGAGAAGAUCCAGGAAAGAGGGACUGAAUUAUGGACAAGGUGCACAAGUGCCUUGAAGCUGUUUAAUAGCGUGUGUGUGUGUGUGUGUGUGUGUGUGUGUGUGUGUGUGUGUGGCACUUAGCUCUACCCUAGAGAACCCUUCCUAAGCUGCAAAGAGCACCACGAGCUGACAGGAGAUCUAGAACCUGAAGCUCAGACGCCAAUCUAUUCCAGCAGCCACUAUUCCCUAAAUAUUUUCCUCAAGGAGAGAAAUCACUGGGUUUAAAAAAAGAGUAACGUUCAAGAGAAAGUAUAGCACGGUUCUUUAAAAGGCAGUUUUUCUUUCACUUUAAUAAGCUCUUGCAAUAUUAAAACUUCUGAUCUUAAUCAAACUAAAAGCAUUAAUCACCACAUACCUCCUUCUGUCCUUGGCUCUCUCCUGGUCUUACUCCAGACCUAGUCACAAGGCUGUAUGUCUGGAUGGUGAACAUGAGUAACUCAAAUACAUCAACAUAUUUAUCCAAUUAAGAAACAAGUAUCUGGAGUUCCCACUGUGGCACAUGGGUUAAUGAUCUUGCUUGCCUAUGUAGUGGCAGUGGUUUGAUCCUGGCCCAGCAGAGUGGGUUAAAUAUCCUUCACUGCUGCAGCUGUGGCAUAUGUCAGAGUUGUGGUACAGAUUCAAUCCCUGGCCAGGGAACCUCCAUAU
rnacentral:lncRNA from 1 species